GUAGGGAAUCUUCCGCAAUGGACGCAAGUCUGACGGAGCAACGCCGCGUGUGUGAAGAAGGUUUUCGGAUCGUAAAGCACUGUUAUUAGAGAAGAACAGCCGAUAGAGUAACUGUUAUCGGUUUGACGGUAUCUAACCAGAAAGUGACGGCUAACUACGUGCCAGCAGCCGCGGUAAUACGUAGGUCACAAGCGUUGUCCGGAUUUAUUGGGCGUAAAGGGAGCGCAGGCGGUUUGUUAAGUCUGAUGUGAAAGCCCACGGCUCAACCGUGGAACGGCAUUGGAAACUGGCAAACUUGAGUAUAGAAGAGGAAAGUGGAAUUCCAUGUGUAGCGGUGAAAUGCGUAGAUAUAUGGAGGAACACCAGUGGCGAAGGCGACUUUCUGGUCUAUAACUGACGCUGAGGCUCGAAAGCGUGGGGAGCGAACAGGAUUAGAAACCCUAGUAGUCC
rnacentral:rRNA from 1 species